rnacentral:rRNA from 1 species
CAAAUAAAUUAAAACUUUCAACAACGGAUCUCUUGGCUCUGGCAUCGAUGAAGAACGCAGCGAAAUGCGAUAAGUAAUGUGAAUUGCAGAAUUCAGUGAAUCAUCGAAUCUUUGAACGCACAUUGCGCCCGCCAGUAUUCUGGCGGGCAUGCCUGUUC